rnacentral:lncRNA from 1 species
GUUGCUCAAAAUUCUUUGCACAGACCAGCAGUACUUCUUCAUCUUUCCAGUUUGCAGCUCUUAGAUGGAGUGAUGGUAACUCUGGAGGAGCGGACCAGGGCUGAGCUCUUAAAAGCAGAUCCAGCACAAUGCUCUCAAGUCGUUGGAGCGUCUUUCUCUACCACGGAAUUCAACCUGCCAGGGCUGCCCCCACUUCUGGCUUAUAACACGACUAUUAAAGGAAUAAGCAUAAAUGGCAGACCACAAAACCUCAUGCACGGACAUGAAACACUGACAGGCAAAAAGCACAAGCACGGUAAUGCUGGUCGAAGCAGCCAAACUGACUAUAACAUCAGACACAGUCGAAGAACGGGAAGUAACCCACCAGCAAGCCGCGUCCUGUUAGAGGGAAACAGAACUGCAAAUUCAAAAAAGGAGCCAGACACCAGAUGUUCAUUUGAUGACAAACAUCAACACAUGUAGCUUGCUGAGAUGGUGGGUCAUUCAGGAAACACAGUCCGAGUGCAAGAUCACACCCCAACGUCUGAGCUUUAAUUUAAAAACAAUCAUUUUUGUUAGCAUUUAUGGUGAGAAAUUGCAUGUGUCUUUCAGUUUUCUUAAGUACCAAUAAAUCUCUUUAGCUUUGAUAUAAUCAUGUGAAUAUUUUUGUUGAUUUAAAUAAUUUGCUGCUAUUACAUUAAAUUGGUUAAAACGUUAACGUGAGAUAAAUAAAAGUGUAUCUAUAGGAGGAAAUCCUGC